CCUUGACAUACUAAGAACUUUCCAGAGAUGGAUUGGUGCCUUCGGGAACUUAGAUACAGGUGCUGCAUGGCUGUCGUCAGCUCGUGUCGUGAGAUGUUGGGUUAAGUCCCGCAACGAGCGCACCUUUCCUAUUUGCCAGCGGGUCAUGCCGGGAACUUUAAGGAUACUGCCAGUGACAAACUGGAGGAAGGCGGGGACGACGUCAAGUCAUCAUGGCCCUUACGGCCAGGGCUACACACGUGCUACAAUGGUCGGUACAAAGGGUUGCUACCUCGCGAGAGGAUGCUAAUCUCAAAAAGCCGAUCGUAGUCCGGAUCGCAGUCUGCAACUCGACUGCGUGAAGUCGGAAUCGCUAGUAAUCGCGGAUCAGAAUGCCGCGGUGAAUACGUUCCCGGGCCUUGUACACACCGCCCGUCACACCAUGGGAGUUUGUUGCACCAGAAGUAGGUAGUCUAACCGCAAGGAGGACGCUUACCACGGUGUGGCCGAUGACUGGGGUGAAGUCGUAACAAGGUAAGCGUAGAUGA
rnacentral:rRNA from 1 species